rnacentral:snRNA from 10 species
UCAUUUUACUUAAUAAUGGCCCUAAAGUGCAAGUAUGGUGAUGCUGGCAAUUUGGAUAUGCCAAAGAGAAGGGGAAAAAUGUUUCCUUUAAGUGAAAAGUUGAAAGUUCUGGACUUAAUAAGGAGAGAAAAAAAUUGUAUGCUGAAGUCGCUAAGAUCUACAGUACAGUAAGAUAUUUUGACAGACCGUAUUCACGUAAGUUUUAUUACACUAUAUUCUUACAACUUAUUUUUUUAAUUUAAAAUAUGGAAUGCCUAACGAAUAUGCGUGUCAUCCUUGCGCAGGGGCCAUGCUAAUUACCGUAUCAUUCCAAUUUUAGUAUAUGUGCUGCUGAAGGGAGCGUUUUUCUAUUUUAUUAUUGUUGAUCUUUUACUAUGUCUAAUUUAUAAAUUAAACUUUCAUGUAUAUACAGGAAAAAAAACAUAGUAUAUAUAGGGUUCAGCACGAGCACGGUUUCAAGGCAUCCACCAGGGGUCUUGGAUAAGGAGAAACUGCUGUAGUUAAUGAUAAGAAAAUGCAGAUGAGUUGUGAAAGAUGAGAUGUAAAAUUAGGCUGUGUAAUCACAAAUUGAAAAAAAUGUCUUUAUAAAUAGGAAAAGGUAAUAAUCAUGUGUCCUUUAGAAUAGGAAGAUUUUAGAUUUUUGUUCUAUAUUUUCUAAAUUGCUUUAUACUAAAUUUCUUUUGUUCAAAAUAUUUUUCCUACGUAGAACAAAGAGGUGAAGAAAAAGACUUUAGAGUCAAAGAAAGUAUCUGCAUCUACCUUAAAAAGAGAUGCAGAUGCUUCAAAAGCUGUUGAAAUUGUUACUUCAACUUCUGCUGGUAAGUUGUUACUUUUAAUAUUCUUUCAAAUGAGUGUAUCUUGUCAGUUUAGUAGAAACUUAGAUGAUGAUGCUAUGAAGACACUAUUGUGCUUUAAUGAAGGAGACCCAAAUUACAUUCUUUAAUUGGCCCCUGUAUUAAGCAGGCGGUUAAUA